GGGAAACCCCCUCGCCGAAAGACUAAGGUUUCCUGAUCAACGCUAAUCGGAUCAGGGUCAGUCGGGUCCUAAGGCUCAGCCGAACGGCGAUGCCGAUGGCAGAAACGGUUAAUAUUCCGUUACUACCUUCAGGAGUGACGUGGAGACGCAGUAGUGACAGUGCCGCCAUCUGACGGAAUAGAUGGUUGAAGGGUGUAGGAGUCGAUCAUGGCAGGCAAAUCCACCAUGAGAUCCGAACCUGACAGUAUGCCGCGUCCUUCGGGACAAGGCAAUAGUGCGCGUAAGCAUGCUGCCGAGAAAAUCCGCUAAACUUAAUCCUGCAGGUACCCGUACCGCAAACGGACACACGUAGUCGGGUUGAAUAUACUAAGGCGCUUGAGUGAUUCACGGUUAAGGAACUAGGCAAACUGACCCUGUAACUUCGGGAUAAAGGGUCCCUACCCUUUUAUGGGAGGGCGCAGAGAAUCGGUCCAGGCAACUGUUUAACAAAAACACAGGGCUGUGCCAAAUCGAAAGAUCCAGUAUACAGCCUGACACCUGCCCGGUGCUGGAAGGUUAAGAGGAGAUGUCAUCGAUAAGAGAAGCGUUGAAUUGAAGCCCCAGUAAACGGCGGCCGUAACUAUAACGGUCCUAAGGUAGCGAAAUUCCUUGUCGGGUAAGUUCCGACCUGCACGAAUGGUGUAAUGAUCUGGACGCUGUCUCAACCGUGAGCUCAGUGAAAUUGUAGUAUCGGUGAAGAUGCCGAUUACCCGCGAUGGGACGAAAAGACCCCGUGAACCUUUACUAUAGCUUAUCAUUGAAUCUGGGCACGUGAUGUGUAGGAUAGGUCGGAGGCUUUGAAGCAGGUACGCCAGUAUUUGUGGAGCCGCUGUUGAAAUACGACCCUUUAUUUGUUUGGAUUCUAACCCGUGGAUACGGGGACAUUGAUUGGUGGGUAGUUUGACUGGGGUGGUCGCCUCCAAAAGCGUAACGGAGGCUUCUAAAGGUGCCCUCACGACGAUUGGUAACCGUCGGCAGAGUGUAAUGGCAUAAGGGCGCUUGACUGGGAGACUUACAAGUCGAUCAGGUAGGAAACUAGAGCAUAGUGAUCCGGUGUUUCUGUAUGGAAAGGACAUCGCUCAAAGGAUAAAAGGUACUCCGGGGAUAACAGGCUGAUCCCUCCCAAGAGCUCAUAUCGACGGAG
rnacentral:rRNA from 1 species